GCUACGGGAGGCAGCAGUGAGGAAUAUUGGUCAAUGGGCUUACGCCUGAACCAGCCAAGUCGCGUGAGGGAAGACUGCCCUAUGGGUUGUAAACCUCUUUUGUCAGGGAGCAACGCCGGCUACGUGUAGCCGGACUGAGAGUCCCUGAAGAAAAAGCAUCGGCUAACUCCGUGCCAGCAGCCGCGGGAAUACGGAGGAUGCGAGCGUUAUACGGAUUUAUUGGGUUGAAAGGAGGCGUAGGCGGAAUGCAAAGUCAGCGGUAAAAUCGCGGGGCUCAACCUCGCUCCGCGUUUGAAACUGGCGUGCUUGAGUGGGCGUGAAGGAUGCGGAAUGCGUGGUGUAGCGGUGAAAUGCUUAGAUAUCACGAAGAACUCCGAUUGCGAAGGCAGCAUACCGGCGCCCAACUGACGCUGAAGCACGAAAGCGUGGGUAUCGAACAGGAUUAGAUACCCCUGUAGUC
rnacentral:rRNA from 1 species